rnacentral:rRNA from 1 species
GAUGAACGCUGGCGGCGUGCUUAACACAUGCAAGUCGAACGGAAAGGCCCAAGCUUGCUUGGGUACUCGAGUGGCGAACGGGUGAGUAACACGUGGGUGAUCUGCCCUGCACUUCGGGAUAAGCCUGGGAAACUGGGUCUAAUACCGGAUAGGACGAUGGUUUGGAUGCCAUUGUGGAAAGUUUUUUCGGUGUGGGAUGAGCUCGCGGCCUAUCAGCUUGUUGGUGGGGUAAUGGCCUACCAAGGCGUCGACGGGUAGCCGGCCUGAGAGGGUGUACGGCCACAUUGGGACUGAGAUACGGCCCAGACUCCUACGGGAGGGAGCAGUGGGGAAUAUUGCACAAUGGGCGCAAGCCUGAUGCAGCGACGCCGCGUGGGGGAUGACGGCCUUCGGGUUGUAAACUCCUUUCGCUAGGGACGAAGCGUUUUUGUGACGGUACCUGGAGAAGAAGCACCGGCUAACUACGUG